rnacentral:tRNA from 1 species
GGACUUGUAGUUUAUUGGUAAAAUGCCUCGUUCACAUCGAGGAGACAGAAAGUUCGAUUCUUUCCAAGUCCA